rnacentral:misc_RNA from 1 species
GACACUAACAGCAAUGGCCAUGAGGUAGUUUCCAGAAAGCAAUUUACACAGAAGAGAAGAAUACCCAAAAUUUUUCUUUUCUUUUCUUUUAAUUCCUUCUCUAUUGUUUUCUUUUUUGAAGAGUGCCUCAAUCAACUCAACAACCGAAAAGAAAGUGGUCAAACAAAACAAAAUUGGUGAAUAAGGCCUGCUAAUUGUCUCUUUUUUUUAUGCCACUUUUUCAGAAGACAACUAUUGUUUUUAAAUAUAUAAAAGAAAGAUUAAAAGAGUAAUGAUACAAAAAACUGCUUUUUGAUUUGUGAUAAGAUUUUUUUUUAUUUAUUAAACUCAACCUCAUGUUUUGCUUUCUUUCUCUUUCUUCUCCCUCGAAUUUGAUUCUCAAUUUGAUCAAAACAAACCAAAAAAUUUCUGUUCUUUUUGAAAAAUAAUGUUUAGCUCUCAUCUAUUACCUUCAUUUUAAACAAUUUACUCUGAAGAAUCAUUAUCUUUAAAAAUUAAUUAAUGAAAAGUAUCCAAGAAAGCUUGCGUCAUUUACUUUCCAAGAAAAUUAAG